UGAUGAUGAUGAUGAUGAUGAUGAUGAUGAUGAUGAUGAUAACGAUGUUUUAACUGGAGAUAAUGAUAAUUUGCAUGGUGACACUUAAAUUAACCUGAAAAUUAAUAGUCAUCAUUAUCAUUAACAUCAUCGUCAUCAUCAUCAUAGGUA
rnacentral:pre_miRNA from 1 species